UUGUUUCAAUCUUAUGGAUUC
rnacentral:piRNA from 1 species